UUUGCCCCGGCCACGCGGUUAUACCCUUGGUUCCAAGUCGAUUGUGUGACGUAGUAGGUGUCUUACUGGUUAAUAGAGAUCCCAUACUUACCUAACUAUGAGGAGUAGAAUCCGAAUUAGUGGCAGGGAGAUAACGCGGGACUAUAAUACCAGCAUAAGAUUAAGGGAUUUAAAUCUGAAUAGGGUUAGUAUCCUAGUAAGAAUCUUGAACAACUCAAAAUCGUACCACAGAGUGAGGGAGGGGGCACAGAGUGAUCCCGGGGGAUCCUGCAGAUAAACGAGAAUCCACGUAACACCUUACCUAAUGAGACGAAAACUCUUAUCUCGCUGUCGAAUAAUGGGCCAAGUCCAUUAUUAAUCCCUUAUAAGGAUAUAAGUCAGGCUAGAGGAGGUCUAUUAGGCUCUAUGUGGGAUACAAUCCUAAUAAGGGGGUAGAAUAGGAAGGUGGAAAUACCUUCUUAUCUUAAGAACUCGGCAGUAAGAAGUAUAAUAUAGUUCUUCUGAAUAGUGCUAACUCAGUGACUACUAACCGCCCAACACUCCCUCCGCGAGGGGGGAUAAGUCGUAACAAGUAGGGGGUAAACA
rnacentral:rRNA from 1 species